rnacentral:rRNA from 1 species
GACGUAGGGCGCGAGCGUUGUCCGGAUUUAUUGGGCGUAAAGAGCUCGUAGGCGGCUUGUCGCGUCGGCUGUGAAAUCCCGUGGCUCAACUGCGGGUCUGCAGCCGAUACGGGCAGGCUAGAGUUCGGUAGGGGAGACUGGAAUUCCUGGUGUAGCGGUGAAAUGCGCAGAUAUCAGGAGGAACACCGGUGGCGAAGGCGGAUCUCUGGGCCUGUCCUGACGCUGAGGCGCGAAAGCUAGGGGAGCGAACAGG